UAAGUUCGCAAUGUGCGACAGAGGGUAAAGAAGGAAUCUUUAAUUAUGAAUCAUAAACAUAACCUGUAAAUUUAACUCGUUUUUGCUCGUUUCUUACAUUUCUUUCCUCACAAUUUCGUCUCCUUUCCUUUCAGAAGGAAAUACGUUUUUUUAAAAGGAAAAAGUUGCUAAAAGUGCCGAAACUUCAGAAAUUACAGUGUUACAGUUAUAUUAAUUCCUUUUGAGAGAAAAGAAUAUUUUGAAAAUGUAACAAUAAAAAACAGUGAAAACAAGGCAAUCAACAAAUCGCAAAUGCAGAAACGAUUAUCUUUUUUUUUGUUACAAUUAUUGAUUACAAUUGUGUGAUGGAAACAAUUAUUAUUUGUUAUAAUUGUACGGAAAAAACAAUGUUUUAACAGGGAUGGAGUUAUAAAGAUAUUUCUAAAGUGUAAACAAGGUAUGUUUCCAAAGAUGUCGAGACCUUGUGAAUGAGGAGAAUGAAAAACGAAGAUAUGUAUGGUUUUUUCAUCACAUGUGGGAAUAAUAAAGGGCGAAAAACGCCGUAUUUGGUCAUCUGUUUUUACUACUACUGCUUCUGCACUAAUAACUAGUGCCACUAUUUCUAGAACAACUAGUCCAACUUCUACCACUUCCCUGCCGUAAGGAUAGACUGAAAAAUUAAAUUUCCCCGGGGUGCAUCUAUCAUCUACAAUUAAGGAUCAUACAUUUCCAUCCGUACGAUUAAAAGUCAUAGAUUGAUUCUACUUAAUGUCUUGAACCCGCAACAAAUUUACUGAUAUAUACGGUCGCUCUCGAGUAAUUCAAAUUAUCAUAAUAUUAUACUGCCAUAACCAUAUAAUCAAAAGUUGUAUACAUACACGUCAUAUCACAACGUAUAAUCUUCAAUUAUUUUAUAGAUAUACAGACUCUUGAACUUUUUUUUACAAACUUGAUCGUGAACGCUUCAUCAUAUGCGAUCCGGGAGGACUCAAACUUGUCUUAUUCGAAGUACACUACUAUUCUUCGCAACGAUUACUCUUUACAGAAGAAUAAAUUGAAUAUUUAAAUGAUUUUGAAAAAAAAUUCUGUGGCAUAAGUCCCGCUAAAGGUAUAAUAUUGCAUCAAGAUUCAUACAUAUAGAUGCAUUCGAAUAUUCACGAUGAGUGGAACGAACGAUAAAAAAACGAUCAUUACAAAA